CUCCAGUUAUUCCAGCAAUUGCUGAAGCUUCUGUCUCAAGCAACCAUGCUGCACUGUGGUGUCAACUUUGCAACGUGCUUCUUCCUGAAACAGGUCACCAGCUUCCC